UACAGAGGUCCCAAGCGUUGUUCGGAUUCAUUGGGCGUAAAGGGUGCGUAGGUGGCGCCGUAAGUCGGGUGUGAAAUUUCGGAGCUUAACUCCGAAACUGCAUUCGAUACUGCGGUGCUUGAGGACUGGAGAGGAGACUGGAAUUCCUGGUGUAGCGGUGAAAUGCGCAGAUAUCAGGAGGAACACCGGUGGCGAAGGCGGGUCUCUGGGCCGAUACUGACGCUGAGGGGCGAAAGCGUGGGGAGCGAACAGG
rnacentral:rRNA from 1 species